UAAAAGACGAAGACGGAAAAAAGUAUGGUUGAUAUUUAAGUAUCCAGAGAAGGACAUAUCUGCUGCAAGUGUCCUACGAAUAUCUCCUGAAGUUCACUUCCUGAGUUGCCACUGGGAUUCGCAAGAUGAAUAGUGUGCCGGCUGUUUCAUAGUCGUUAGCAUGUUAAGUGUCAAUAUGUUUAAGUAAUUAAGGAUAUUGGAACAAGGGUGGUACCGCGAGACCUCGUCCCUUUU
rnacentral:ncRNA from 1 species